UACGAAGGGGGCUAGCGUUGCUCGGAAUCACUGGGCGUAAAGCGCACGUAGGCGGAUUGUUAAGUCAGGUGUGAAAUCCUGGAGCUCAACUCCAGAACUGCCUUUGAUACUGGCGAUCUUGAGUCCGGUAGAGGUGAGUGGAACUGCGAGUGUAGAGGUGAAAUUCGUAGAUAUUCGCAAGAACACCAGUGGCGAAGGCGGCUCACUGGCCCGGUACUGACGCUGAGGUGCGAAAGCGUGGGGAGCAAACAGG
rnacentral:rRNA from 1 species